rnacentral:pre_miRNA from 1 species
AUAACAUUCGAAUCUUCGAUCUACCGAGCAAUAUCACUCGCUCAGUGGAAAAUCUUUCAAAUGUAUA